GCGGCCGGGAGCGACACGACAAGCAAGCGCUGCAAUGUACUCGUAGCUUCGUUGAAAAUAAUCCUCUAGUUAUUAUUCUUUCGUCGCAGGAUCGAACAGAAAAGCUUGUACCUCCAAACAAACUGAUUUCUUGGGCCAAAUGCUUUCCGUGGCGCUGCUGGCGCUGCUGGCGUCGCUAGUGCUGCUGCUGGCCACUGCACCCGCUACGAGCGCGCAGCACCACCUCGCCAGACGGCCGGUCGCCGCCUCCGCCGCUCGGCCCCCCGCGCCGCCCCCGCCGCCGCCCCCGGGAGGGCCCAACACGGCCAUCGCUCAGUCCACGAGCUGCGCCGUGGCGGUGGCUGGUGGCGGCCGGGCCGGCGGGGCGGGUGGCGCCGGCGCCGGCAACAACUGCGGCAACCUGGCCAACAUCGACUGGAGCAAGCUGUUCGCGGCGUCGCGCG